AGGUAGUACUUGCAACCAAUUUUCGUUUAACAUUUCUAUAGUUAUGAGAGCUUGUUGGAUAAUCUACUUCACAACAUACUUUGGAGUGAUUGUACACAGCAAUAUAUUUCAUAUAUCACGUACAAAAAAAAACUGGACCGAUGCUAUAGAGCACUGCAAAUGUUACGGGAUGCGUCUGGCGGUGGUUGAUACUGCAGCGAAGCAAAGGCUGUUGGAACAGGCACUCAUUGGGUCCGCAAUCUUCAACGACUCGUGGACCAGCGUAUGGAUUGCAGCAAAUGACAGAGCCGUCGAGGGCCAAUUUGUUUGGCAGCCUACGGGGAAAAAAGUGCAAUACACCAAUUGGAGGUCUCUAAUGCCGGACAAUUAUCAAGGGUACGAAGAUUGCGUGCACGUAUUCCGCGGGAUUGGUUUCAACUUUAAGUGGAAUGAUUGGCCGUGUACUUGGCUGACUCAGGUUGCAUGUGAAGAAGUGAAAAAAUGCUAGCAAACAGUGAAUGACUGAAUGUGAAUAGUACAAUAAGUGAUUGAUUGUAAGUACCAGCACACCACCAAAUAAUUAUUUUUUGCUGAAAAAAUAAAUAAAUUUGCAAAAAUGCAAAUAUAAAACAUAAAUAGAUCAAUUCCUAAACAGUA